UACGUAGGGUGCAAGCGUUAAUCGGAAUUACUGGGCGUAAAGCGUGCGCAGGCGGUUCUAUAAGACAGAUGUGAAAUCCCCGGGCUCAACCUGGGAACUGCAUUUGUGACUGUAGAGCUGGAGUGCGGCAGAGGGGGAUGGAAUUCCGCGUGUAGCAGUGAAAUGCGUAGAUAUGCGGAGGAACACCGAUGGCGAAGGCAAUCCCUGGGCCUGCACUGACGCUCAUGCACGAAAGCGUGGGAGCAAACAGG
rnacentral:rRNA from 1 species